rnacentral:rRNA from 1 species
ACCAUCCUCCAAGGCUAAAUACUCCUGACUGACCGAUAGUGAACCAGUACCGUGAGGGAAAGGCGAAAAGAACCCCGGCGAGGGGAGUGAAAAAGAACCUGAAACCGUGUACGUACAAGCAGUGGGAGCACGCUUAGGCGUGUGACUGCGUACCUUUUGUAUAAUGGGUCAGCGACUUAUAUUCUGUAGCAAGGUUAACCGAAUAGGGGAGCCGAAGGGAAACCGAGUCUUAACUGGGCGUUAAGUUGCAGGGUAUAGACCCGAAACCCGGUGAUCUAGCCAUGGGCAGGUUGAAGGUUGGGUAACACUAACUGGAGGACCGAACCGACUAAUGUUGAAAAAUUAGCGGAUGACUUGUGGCUGGGGGUGAAAGGCCAAUCAAACCGGGAGAUAGCUGGUUCUCCCCGAAAGCUAUUUAGGUAGCGCCUCGUGAAUUCAUCUCCGGGGGUAGAGCACUGUUUCGGCAAGGGGGUCAUCCCGACUUACCAACCCGAUGCAAACUGCGAAUACCGGAGAAUGUUAUCACGGGAGACACACGGCGGGUGCUAACGUCCGUCGUGAAGAGGGAAACAACCCAGACCGCCAGCUAAGGUCCCAAAGUCAUGGUUAAGUGGGAAACGAUGUGGGAAGGCCCAGACAGCCAGGAUGUUGGCUUAGAAGCAGCCAUCAUUUAAAGAAAGCGUAAUAGCUCACUGGUCGAGUCGGCCUGCGCGGAAGAUGUAACGGGGCUAAACCAUGCACCGAAGCUGCGGCAGCGACGCUGAUGCGUUGUUGGGUAGGGGAGCGUUCUGUAAGCCUGUGAAGGUGUGCUGUGAGGCAUGCUGGAGGUAUCAGAAGUGCGAAUGCUGACAUAAGUAACGAUAAAGCGGGUGAAAAGCCCGCUCGCCGGAAGACCAAGGGUUCCUGUCCAACGUUAAUCGGGGCAGGGUGAGUCGACCCCUAAGGCGAGGCCGAAAGGCGUAGUCGAUGGGAAACAGGUUAAUAUUCCUGUACUUGGUGUUACUGCGAAGGGGGGACGGAGAAGGCUAUGUUGGCCGGGCGACGGUUGUCCCGGUUUAAGCGUGUAGGCUGGUUUUCCAGGCAAAUCCGGAAAAUCAAGGCUGAGGCGUGAUGACGAGGCACUACGGUGCUGAAGCAACAAAUGCCCUGCUUCCAGGAAAAGCCUCUAAGCAUCAGGUAACAUCAAAUCGUACCCCAAACCGACACAGGUGGUCAGGUAGAGAAUACCAAGGCGCUUGAGAGAACUCGGGUGAAGGAACUAGGCAAAAUGGUGCCGUAACUUCGGGAGAAGG